AUUGAACGCUAGCGGGAUGCCUUACACAUGCAAGUCGAACGGAGUGGCGAACGGGUGAGUAAUGUAUCGGAACGUGCCCAGUAGCGGGGGAUAACUACGCGAAAGCGUAGCUAAUACCGCAUACUAUUGGAGCGGCCGAUAUCGGCAUAGCUAGUUGGGGGGGUAACGGCUUACCAGGGCGACGAUCCGUAGCUGGUUUGCGAGGACGACCAGCCACACUGGGAAUGGGACACGGCCCAGCCUCCUACGGGAGGCAGCAGGGGGGAAUGUUGGACAAUGGGGGAAACCCGGAUCCAGCCAGCCCGCGUGUGCGAUGAAGGCCUUCGGGUUGUAAAGCACUUGUGGCAGGAAAGCGUUACCUGCAGAAUAAGCACCGGCUAACUACGUGCCAGCCGCCGCGGUAAUAC
rnacentral:rRNA from 1 species